AUUGAACGCUGGCGGCAUGCUUUACACAUGCAAGUCGAACGGUAACAGGGUGCUUGCACCGCUGACGAGUGGCGAACGGGUGAGUAAUGCGUCGGAACGUGCCGAGUAGUGGGGGAUAACGCAGCGAAAGUUGUGCUAAUACCGCAUACGUACUGAGGUAGAAAGUGGGGGACCUUCGGGCCUCACGCUAUUCGAGCGGCCGACGUCUGAUUAGCUAGUAGGUGAGGUAAAGGCUCACCUAGGCGACGAUCAGUAGCGGGUCUGAGAGGAUGAUCGGCCACACGGGGACUAAGACACGGCCCAGACGCCUACGGGAGGCAGCAGUGGGGAAUUUUGGACAAUGGGCGAAAGCCUGAUCCAGCCAUGCCGCGUGUCUGAAGAAGGCCUUCGGGUUGUAAAGGACUUUUGUCGGGGAGGAAAUCCCCAGCGUUAAUACCGCUGGGGGAUGACAGUACCUGAAGAAUAAGCACCGGCUAACUACGUGCCAGCCGCCGCCGUAAGAC
rnacentral:rRNA from 1 species